UCCGUCCCUCACCUCCCACUCUCCCUCGAUCCCAGACCCCGGCCCACCUACCCAAGAAGACCCCGGAGCCACCCGUCGCCGGGGACCACCCGCACACCACCGACUGGAAUCCUGCGCGCCGCUGCCCACCAAGAACUUCGUGUGCCGCCGCCAGUACCAGCACCCUCCCAUUCCUCCCAAUGAUUCGUCCCCUGGCUCCCUCCAGUCCAGCGCGCCGCCGGCCUCCAUCCGCCAGCUUCCACAGGCCGGCGGCCUCCCUCACCAUGGGUCCACCGCGGCGGUGGCCCCCCUGCUACUAUAUCCACCGUCACGUCGCCUUCCUCCCCCUGUAUCCACGGCGGCGGCCUACCUGUCCUCUGGAUCCACGGCAGCGGCGGCCUCAUUCCCACUGGAUCCAUGGCGGACGCGGCCUCCUCUGCUUCCAACAUGGCGACGCCCUCCCUCCAGUGAGCUGCUGGCAAACCUCUCAUCGUCACCUGCUGCUGCUCCUGUGUGGUGGUGUAGUCUCCCUGCUUGGCCGCUGUGGGGAGCCUGCUGGAUAAGGCCGUUCAACACGGCAACCCAAGGACGUUCAACGUCAAAACCCAAUGUCGUUCAACUCCCAUGACGUCCCUCUUCUCUGACUCUGCAGAGGACUGGAGUGCAGCGCCACUGCCUCUUGUGCUUUUUCUUCUCCGCUGAACACCGCCGCACAACGCACCCCGUGGCCCGCCGCCGAUGCGCUCGAGUAUCGCCACAUUUGCUCGCUUCAUCAGCAAGGGAGGGAGCUCGUGGUGCUGCUCCCUGUAGGCUGUCGUCCUCCUGGGUGGUCAACCUGCUCGCCGUCCCCAGCUCACCCCUCGCUCCGGCACAAGCAGAGCACCGCAUCGCGUCUGCCCUCAUAGUUCGGACCCGAGGCCAUUCCAGAUAAGCAACAACCACAUGACGUGGCAAGUAAUGCGGCCAGGGAAAUUUUGCGAAGCAACAGUCUAGAAGUUCAGAGAUGAUAUAAUGAGAAAAGUUGUGGCUGGUCAUGGUUUUCUUACACCUAAACGGCUACCCUGUUCUAUUAGUGAAAAAUCUUCUGUUUAGGAUAUACGAAGAUGGAAUAGAUCACUGUUUAGAUUUCUUUUUCCUAUAGUCUAUUGAUAGCAUGUUCGUGUGCUAGCACUUGCUCCA